AGCGAACGCUGGCGGCAGGCCUAACACAUGCAAGUCGAGCGCUCAUCUUCGGAUGGGAGCGGCGCACGGGUGAGUAACACGCGGGAACCUACCUUGAAGUAUGGAAUAACUGAGGGAAACUUCAGCUAAUACCGUAUACGCCCUACGGGGGAAAGAUUUAUCGCUUCAAGACGGGCCCGCGUUGGAUUAGCUAGUUGGUGAGGUAAUGGCUCACCAAGGCGACGAUCCAUAGCUGAUUUGAGAGAAUGAUCAGCCACACUGGGACUGAGACACGGCCCAGACUCCUACGGGAGGCAGCAGUGGGGAAUAUUGGACAAUGGGCGCAAGCCUGAUCCAGCCAUGCCGCGUGAGUGAUGAAGGCCUUCGGGUUGUAAAGCUCUUUCAGAUGGGACGAUGAUGACGGUACCAUCAGAAGAAGCCCCGGCUAACUUCGUGCCAGCAGCCGCGGUAAUACGAAGGGGGCUAGCGUUGUUCGGAAUUACUGGGCGUAAAGCGCGCGUAGGCGGCUUUGUCAGUCAGGGGUGAAAUCCCGGGGCUUAACCUCGGAACUGCCUUUGAUACUGCAAGGCUUGAGUCUGUGAGAGGAUGGUGGAAUACCCAGUGUAGAGGUGAAAUUCGU
rnacentral:rRNA from 1 species